rnacentral:rRNA from 1 species
UUGGAGGGCAAGUCUGGUGCCAGCAGCCGCGGUAAUUCCAGCUCCAAUAGCGUAUAUUAAAGUUGUUGCAGUUAAAAAGCUCGUAGUUGAAUUUCGGGAUUAGUACGUCGGUCGUGCCUUAGGUACGUACUGGUGUUACUGGUUCCUACCUUCUGACGAACCAUCAUGUCAUUAAUUUGGUGUGGUGGGGAAUCAGGACUGUUACUUUGAAAAAAUUGAGUGUUUAAAGCAGGCUCGCGCUUGAAUACAUUAGCAUGGAAUAAUGGAAUAGGACG